rnacentral:rRNA from 1 species
AAAGCUCUCUCCCGAUGCACAACCGUCGGUGGCAGCAAAGGCUUCAGUACGACCCAGUCAGAACUAUAAGUCUCAAAGCCCCGACGAGUAGGGUGGCGUGCCGGUGAGCGUUGAAGGCCAAGACGUGAGUCAGGCUGGAGCCGCCGGUAGUGCAGAUCUUGGUGGUAGUAGCAAGUACUCUGGUGAACCAACCUGGAGCUGUGAGGUCUGGAUCAGGGUUCCAUGUCAACAGUGAUUGAACAUGGGUGAGUCGAUCCUAAGCCAACUGUGAAAGCAGUGACAUCCCGACAAAGGUGCAUCUCGUGAGUGCCCGACGGUGUUCACACGCUCACUCUGCCUCUCUCGAUACAAGACGUGAUUUGUCUCACACACGUGCGCGUGUGUGCUUAUCAUGAGUCUGUCACUCCGCUACGUCUCCGUUUAUCGGGGGUGAUUGUGCAGAGGGCGCUCUAGUUACGCUCCCCGGCGUUGCUUACAAAACUGAAAGAGAGUGGUUUGGGCGAGUGCUUGUCGUGUGUUAACGUUCGAAGGAUUCGCACCCACUAUGCUUACUCUGCGUUGGUUCUAUGUCUGGCGAAAGGGAAUGGGGACUUUGUUCCUUGACCGGUCCCGGCACCCUCGAUAGGCUUUGCCAUUCAAUGGUCCAUGCAAAUGGAACCAGGCCACAGCCGCCGGCAGUCGCCCGAGGAAGAGUUUUCUUUUCUGCUUAACGCACGAGAUCAUCCCUGGAAACAGUUCGGCUGGCGAAAGGGUGCCCCGUUGCGGCAGAGCGCCACGACUGUCGUGCGCGUCUCGGUGUUCCUGCCGGUCCGUGAAGACGUGGUCGAGGGGAUUGCUAUAUUGUAUCAACGAAACGCCCGACAAGUUCGGGACGGACCGUACCCUAUAUCCGCAUCUGGUCUCCAAGGUUCGUAGCCUCUGCAGAGUCAGACACAUGUAGGUAAGGGAAGUCGGCAAACUCGAUCCGUAACUUCGGGAAAAGGAUUGGCUCUGAGGGCCGAGCUGGGCCGGGCCUUGCCUGCAAAGCAGUACCUAUAGUGACCGGAGUUUUAGGAGUGCGAGGGGCUCUAGUAGCUGCCUGCGUUCACGCGUGGGCACGAACGAGUCUACCGCUCCGCUCCAACCACGAACGGCUGUGACGGCAAGGGCUCUGGGCGGGAGCGUUCAAACCGUUUGCCCCCAGCUCGUCUGGGUGGUGGCGGUGCUUCGUCUGACCCAUACGGCUCCAGCGGCUAGCGGCUAACUCAGAACUGUCAUGGACCAAGGGAAUCCGACUGUCUAAUUAAAACAAAGCGUCGUGACGGCCCCUAUUGGGUGUUGACGCGACGUGAUUUCUGCCCAGUGCUCUG